AUUGAACGCUGGCGGCAGGCCUAACACAUGCCAGUCGAGCGAGCGGCGGACGGGUGAGUAAUGUCUGGGAAACUGCCUGAUGGAGGGGGAUAACUACUGGAAACGGUAGCUAAUACCGCAUACCAUCAAAUAUGCCUAGAUGGGAUUAGCUCGUAGGUGGGGUAACGGCUCACCUAGGCGACGAUCCCUAGCUGGUCUGAGAGGAAGACCAGCCACGCUGGAACUGAGACAUGGUCCAAACUCCUACGGGAGGAAGCAGUGGGGAAUAUUGCACAAUGGGCGUAAGCCUGAUGCAGCCAUGCCGCGUGUAUGAAGAAGGCCUUCGGAUUGUAAAGUACUGUCAGCGGGGAGGCGGUACCCGCAGAAGAAGCAUCGGCUAACUCCGUGCCAGCAGCCGCGGUAAGAC
rnacentral:rRNA from 1 species